rnacentral:lncRNA from 1 species
UGGAAUUGUUUUGGGAAUAAGUGUGGUCUCCUGGGAGUUUCAGAUUAAUCGGCUAGUGAGUCCUCUUCUUGUCGUGUUUUUGUAAAUAUGUCGUGUAUCUUGUCUCUUGAAAUUGUUGAGUAAAGAGACAAGAUGAGAAAAAAAAAGAAAAAAAAGAGAGCAGAAAAACAGUGAAAAAUAAAAAAAAAUUGUGAAUAAUGGAGUAGAGAAGAGGAUGGAAUUAGAGGUUGUGGGUGUGUUUGAAUGUGUUUACACUUGUUCCCGAUUGCUCCUCUAUUCCUUAUGGUUUGUAGCUUCUUAUCCAGAUGUAUCCUCCCUUGUCCUUAGCCCCA